GGGAGGGUGUGACAGGAAGGGGAUAUCGUGCUUGGAGGCAGGCACGUCUGAGUGUCAACGCACACAGGUUGGCUCUGAGAUGUGGAGACAGGACGGACUUUCCGGGAACAAUCACAGUAUGGGAGGCAAAUGCAUCAGCCAGCAUCUGUGGUGUAAACCAGCCCACACCACCAGCUUCGUAGAAUUUGGGUCAUAACCAGUUAAAUUUGAAAUAGCGCCACUCCAAAAGAGGUACACCCAGAGCACCAAGCUGUUACCAAGGCAACCCACCAGGAAGGCCAGAAGAUAGACACAUGGGAUGAUGGAGAAGGAGGGAUACCAGUCAGUGUAGUCACAGUGGAAUGGAGGCGG